rnacentral:snRNA from 1 species
AGCUGCGCAGUGGGCACAAAGCGAACUAUUCUUUCGCCUUUUACUAAAGAAUACCGUGUGCUCGCUGCAAAUAGCAGUAUACUCUAAUUUUUUGUGGGGAUUUCCUGUCUAAGGAGAAA